GAUAUCCUUGCUCUCAGUGUGAGUAUGCUGCAACUAAAGCAAGUUCUCUGAAGAGACAUUUUGAAAAUAAACAUGAAGGAGUAAGAUAUCCCUGUUUUCAAUGUGAAUAUAGUGCAACUGACGUAAGUAAUCUAAAGAAACAUGUUGAAAUUAAACAUGAAGGAGUGAGAUAUCCUUGUUCUCAAUGCGAACAUGCCGCAACUUCAGCAAGGGAUCUGAAGAGACAUGUUAAUAGUAAACAUGAAGGAUUGAGGUAUCCCUGCUCUCAAUGUGAAUAUAGUGCAACUGACGAAAGUAAUCUGAAGAGACAUGUUGAAAGUAAACACAAUGGAGUGAGGUAUCCAUGCCCAAAAUGUGAGUUCGCUGCAACUAGAGCAGAUGCGCUGAAGAUUCAUGUUGAGAGUAAACAUGAAGGGUGGAGAUAUUAUUGCCCACAAUGUGAGUUUGUCGCAACUGCAGCAAUUAAUCUGAAGAGACAUGUUAAAAGUAAACAUUAAGGAGCGAGAUAUCCUUGCCCUGAAUGUAAAUAUGCUGCAACUCUGAAAAGAGAUAGAAUAACAGAGAUUUUGAAGAAAGAAGUAGAUGUCAAGGAAUCUGAGAUAACCUCUACUAUUGAGGAUACAUGUUUUGUUAAAAUACCUGAAGAUGAUAUAAAGCAGGAAAAUACAGAAAUACAAGAGUAUUUAAAAAAGAUGAAUUGUCUAACAAGAAAAUCUGGGAGUUAUUUAGAAAUAUCAACUUUAAAUCAAACAAGGAUAGAGUGCUGCUGCAAAUCAGUUGAAAACUCUCAAAAAUUAGCUCAAGAACCAGAAACAAG